rnacentral:tRNA from 1 species
GCGGACGUGGCGGAACGGUAGACGCUAGCGACUUAAAAUCGCUUUCCUUCGGGAGUGCGGGUUCGAGUCCCGCCGUCCGCACCA